rnacentral:rRNA from 1 species
GACGAACGCUGGCGGCGUGCUUAACACAUGCAAGUCGUACGGAAAGGCCCUGCUUUUGUGGGGUGCUCGAGUGGCGAACGGGUGAGUAACACGUGAGUAACCUGCCCUUGACUUUGGGAUAACUUCAGGAAACUGGGGCUAAUACCGGAUAGGAGCUCCUGUUGCAUGGUGGGGGUUGGAAAGUUUCGGCGGUUGGGGAUGGACUCGCGGCUUAUCAGCUUGUUGGUGGGGUAGUGGCUUACCAAGGCUUUGACGGGUAGCCGGCCUGAGAGGGUGACCGGCCACAUUGGGACUGAGAUACGGCCCAGACUCCUACGGGAGGCAGCAGUGGGGAAUAUUGCACAAUGGGCGGAAGCCUGAUGCAGCAACGCCGCGUGCGGGAUGACGGCCUUCGGGUUGUAAACCGCUUUCGCCUGUGACGAAGCGUGAGUGACGGUAAUGGGUAAAGAAGCACCGGCUAACUACGUG